rnacentral:rRNA from 1 species
AGAGUUUGAUCCUGGCUCAGAGCGAACGCUGGCGGCGUACUUAACACAUGCAAGUCGAACGGGGAUCAUCGGUGUAGCAAUACAUCGGUGGUCCUAGUGGCGCACGGGUGAGUAACACGUGGGUAACCUGCCCUAGAGUUCGGGAUACCCCCUCGAAAGGGGGGCUAAUACCGGAUACGUUCCUCGGGUCGACAGAUCUGGGGAGGAAAGGUGGCGCAAGCUGCCGCUCUUGGAGGGGCUCGCGGCCUAUCAGCUAGUUGGCGGGGUAACGGCCCACCAAGGCUAUGACGGGUAGCUGGUCUGAGAGGACGACCAGCCACACGGGGACUGAGACACGGCCCCGACUCCUACGGGAGGCAGCAGUGGGGAAUUUUCCGCAAUGGGCGAAAGCCUGACGGAGUGACGCUGCGUGUGGGACGAAGGCCUUCGGGUCGUAAACCACUGUCAGUGGGAAAGAAGGGUGUCGACGCUAAUACCGUCGGCACCUGACGGUACCUGCAGAGGAAGCCCCGGCCAACUCUGUGCCAGCAGCCGCGGUAAGACAGAGGGGGCAAGCG